UUUACGCUAAUGCCGUUGGCUGGGCUGUAAAUAAACACUUCCCACUUCCUACGACUUCCGGUGUGGAGGGCGCGCCUCUCCUUCCGCUUCCCCUCGGCUGCGCGUGUGCGGGAAGGGAGACCGUCUGGCGGGAGAGGCUUUUUGCUGGAUGGCGAGAGCUGGGGCCCCUGUGACUUUGGUUCUCACGUGUGGGUGGAGGUGUUUGUGGACGAUUUCGGAUGCCUGGUGAAAAUUUUCUCAAGUCGUGCCGUUGCAACUAAGAACAGAGCAUUCCCUAGAUGAAACUCAACACGCGUAUGCCGAAAAGCAUGAGGUUUUGCUCCAGGAGCAUCGGAAAAGCUCUCAGACGAUGAACAAGGAAGCCCUGCGAAUGCCCUGCUUGUGUGCUACUGGCUGCUUCCUCGGGGCUGUGGGGUCCCUGGCGGAGCAGCCGGCAACUUACUGCUCAGAGGUGGCCCGGGGUGGGGCGCGGGGUGUGGGGUGGGGGGGACAACCGUGCAGUCUCCCCUCCAACAACAACAACAAACCCAAAACAACGAAAUUUGGAGAUGCAGUGGGACAUUCUUUCACAAAGUAGCUUCUAUCAGUCCUGUUUGAUUUUCUUUAAUAAGUCUGUUCUUUUCAAAUGACUUAAUGAUUGUCAGAAUUUUACCGAGGGCCAAGUGUACUGUGAUCUCAGUGAGUUAUGGUGUUUU